rnacentral:rRNA from 1 species
GAUGAACGCUGGCGGCGUGCCUAAUACAUGCAAGUCGAGCGAACAGACGAGGAGCUUGCUCCUCUGACGUUAGCGGCGGACGGGUGAGUAACACGUGGAUAACCUACCUAUAAUACUGGGAUAACUUCGGGAAACCGGAGCUACUACCGGCUAAUAUAUUGAACCGCAUGGUGCAAUAGUGAAAGACGGUUUUGCUGUCACAUAUAGAUGGAUCCGCGCCGCAUUAGCUAGUUGGUAAGGUAACGGCUUACCAAGGCAACGAUGCGUAGCCGACCUGAGAGGGUGAUCGGCCACACUGGAACUGAGACACGGUCCAGACUCCUACGGGAGGCAGCAGUAGGGAAUCUUCCGCAAUGGGCGAAAGCUUGACGGAGCAACGCCGCGUGAGUGAUGAAGGUCUUCGGAUCGUAAAACUCUGUUAUUAGGGAAGAAAAAAUGUGUAAUUAACUAUGCACGUCUUGACGGUACCUAAACAGAAAGCCACGGCUAACUACGUG